rnacentral:rRNA from 1 species
CGGCGAGUGAAGCGGCAAAAGCUCAAAUUUGAAAUCUGGCACCUUCGGUGUCCGAGUUGUAAUUUGAAGAUUGUAACCUUGGGGUUGGCUCUUGCCUAUGUUUCUUGGAACAGGGACGUCACAAAAGGUGAGAAUCCCGUGCGAUGAGAUGCCCAAUCCUAUGUAAGGUGCUUUCGAAGAGUCGAGUUGUUUGGGAAUGCAGCUCUAAGUGGGUGGUAAAUUCCAUCUAAAGCUAAAUAUUGGCGAGAGACCGAUAGCGAACAAGUACAGUGAUGGUAAGAUGAAAAGAACUUUGAAAAGAGAGUGAAAAAGUACGUGAAAUUGUUGAAAGGGAAGGGUUUGAGAUCAGACUCGAUAUUUUGUGAGCCUUGCCUUCGUGGCGGGGUGACCCGCA